rnacentral:sRNA from 1 species
UGAAGCUUACAAAUAUUUUCUUCUUGACCAGAUCAAAAUGAACUGUUUGGCAUGUCUGGCUUUUCUUUUAGUGUUGGUUGCACCAUCAUUUCAACAAAGGGGUCGCGGAGAUGACGGACGUGGAAACCCAAGAGACCACACCUACUGCUACGGCAGAUGUAACGACGCCUACAAACGAGACUCCAGAGGUUACCAAGUAGCAGACUGCAACUGCAAUCAGUACAACUUCCCAGGCCA